rnacentral:rRNA from 1 species
AGUGAACGCUGGCGGUAGGCCUAACACAUGCAAGUCGAACGGCAGCACAGUAAGAGCUUGCUCUUACGGGUGGCGAGUGGCGGACGGGUGAGGAAUACAUCGGAAUCUACUUUUUCGUGGGGGAUAACGUAGGGAAACUUACGCUAAUACCGCAUACGACCUACGGGUGAAAUCAGGGGAUCUUCGCACCUUGCGCGAUUGAAUGAGCCGAUGUCGGAUUAGCUAGUUGGCGGGGUAAAGGCCCACCAAGGCGACGAUCCGUAGCCGGUCUGAGAGGAUGAUCAGCCACACUGGAACUGAGACACGGUCCAGACUCCUACGGGAGGCAGCAGUGGGGAAUAUUGGACAAUGGGCGCAAGCCUGAUCCAGCCAUACCGCGUGGGUGAAGAAGGCCUUCGGGUUGUAAAGCCCUUUUGUUGGGAAAGAAAAGCAGCAGGUUAAUACCCCGCUGUUCUGACGGUACCCAAAGAAUAAGCACCGGCUAACUUCGUG